CAAUCAUUACAGCUGAGAGACAGAUAACUAUUGCAAGAAACAUCAUAACAAAGCAUAUACGAAUUCUUGCCUUAGUAUGUGCAUGCUGGAUACAUUGAUAACUAGUAAAGUAAUCAAAACACAAAAUAUUUAAUAUAUAUAGUAUUUAAAAGUUUGUGUUUUCAACUAACUUACGAGACAUAAUUUGGAACUUGAUCCAGACUAGGAUACCGUUUGACCCAAACUAAUAUUCUUUUAUCAAAAUUAGAUAGAGCAACCAUAGGUGGUCCUAAA